rnacentral:lncRNA from 1 species
AAAGGAAAUCAAGGAAGAUUUUCAGAGGGCAGGUGGGGGGAGGCUGGGGACCUUCCUGUGGGGGCACAAAUCUUGUCCUGUCACUGGAGGAUGCACACAGCUCAUGGAGACCACGUCAACCACCGGCCUAAGGAAAGCAGCGGGAAAGCUAAAGUGUGACGCGGCUUAAGCAGCUUGUCUGAGUUUGCACAGCUGGCAAAUGGCUGAGCCAUGACUCACACCCAGGUCCAUCCACCGCCAAAGCUCCAGAUCUCUGGCAUCCUUCUAAGGUCAGAAAGGGAAAGAAAUCCCUAAUAAGGAGCCUGUGUGACGGCGUGCCCCCCUCCACUUUCCCACCCCUGCCAAGGACCCGUUUGAAGGCUGUUCACGCCAGUCACUGCAAUCACCAUUGAGCACAGAGAUGACAGUUCCAGCAAGCACUGACCUUCCAGCCCACUCUGCGGAGGAGAAGACUGAGGGGCAGAGAGGCUGUUGAUUUGCUGCAGUUGACUCUGACCCUAAUUUCCCGGCGCUGACUCAAACUCAUCAGGAACACUGCUUUCACUGAGUGUAUGAAGUGGUUUCUCCAUCCGUGUGGCUUUACCUGAACUCACACCGGUCCCACGGCCCAGGUGUGGAGCCGAGCACUCCCCUCUGCCUCCUCCCUGGACUGCAGGACCUGUGUCUCGCUUUAUGAAAGAGAUGCCAUUUGGGGAAGACUCGCAUUGUCGGGAGCGCUGUGGACGCUCCAGAAGGAGAUCAACACGAUGAUGACGAUGCCGGGUGGAGGGAAUGUGCACUUCUCGGGAGCCAGAAAAGAAUAAUCUGAAUGUCUCCAGCAUCAAGAAAAGACCAGUAUUGAAGGUGAUGGAUGCCUUAAUUACGCUGAUUGGAUCUUUACAAAUUAUAUUAAUGUAUUAAAUUAUUACAUGUAUGCAGAAAGUCUGUACACCUAUUAUGCACCAAUAAAAAAGAAAUUUUUUAAAGUGAGCAAAGGCCCCUUUGCCUUGGAUCUCAAGUCUAAGAAACAGGCCCUGAUGCCUUUAGGAAACCCCAAAAAGGAACGGGGCCCUUCUGGGAAGCGGAGCUGGUGAAAAAACACCCUGGACCUCAAAAUUGAGCAAGCAGGGUUAUGUUUCCCAGGCCAAACUGUCAUCUUUACCCUAGAAAUUGGGCCACACCUAUGGUGCUGAAUGGCUGUACCUUGGGCUUCAAGUUCCCAGAUCCCACACUCCUUCCAGGUCCUAUGAAAACCCCACAGCAUCCCCAGGGAUCCUCUGCAGGCCUUAGACAAAGCUCAGCCUCCCACUGGACAUUAUUCUUGAACUCGACAUUGCUGCUGCCCUGGGCCCAACUGUGGGUUUGAGAUUUCCUAGUGGCCCCUGGAGAACGGUCCCUGUAUCGCCUGAAGGGGACCCCCUCACUAGAUGCCCUAUAGGCCUGCAGGUCCAUGCACCAGGUCUGGCCCUGGCUCUGCUGGUCCUGAGCUCAACCCUGAGGAUUAACUGGACUGGAACUGGGUGCCCGCGUGCCACCUUGCCCACCCAUGCUUCAUACAUGUCACAAGCUUCACCCUCUCUUGGGACAAACCAGCUCAUCAUCCCCUGGCCCCUGGCUGUCGUGAACGCCAUCUCCAUCUUGGGAUGUGCCAGCCUCGAUUUCCUUCUC